GACGAACGCUGGCGGCGUGCUUAACACAUGCAAGUCGAACGGAAAGGCCCUGCUUUUGUGGGGUGCUCGAGUGGCGAACGUGUGAGUAACACGUGAGUAACCUGCCCUUGACUUUGGGAUAACUUCAGGAAACUGGGGCUAAUACCGGAUAGGAGCUCCUGCUGCAUGGUGGGGGUUGGAAAGUUUCGGCGGUUGGGGAUGGACUCGCGGCUUAUCAGCUUGUUGGUGGGGUAGUGGCUUACCAAGGCUUUGACGGGUAGCCGGCCUGAGAGGGUGACCGGACACAUUGGGACUGAGAUACGGCCCAGACCCCUACGGGGGGGAGCAGGGGGGAAUAGUGCACAAUGGGCGGAAGCCUGAUGCAGCAACGCCGCGUGCGGGAUGACGGCCUUCGGUUUGUAAACCGCUUUCGCCUGUGACGAAGCGUGAGUGACGGUAAUGAGUAAAGAAGCACCGGCUAACUACGUG
rnacentral:rRNA from 1 species